rnacentral:miRNA from 1 species
CAGGUUCUCUAGCUUGAUGUCCCGGUGCAGGACACAGCUGCUCUUGCAGUGUUACAAUGCCGCGAUCAGCUGCACCAGCACUUUCUUGGCCGUACGCU